UACGUAGGGUGCAAGCGUUGUCCGGAAUUAUUGGGCGUAAAGAGCUCGUAGGCGGUUCGUCGCGUCGGCUGUGAAAACCUGAGGCUCAACCUCAGGGCUGCAGUCGAUACGGGCGGACUUGAGUACUGCAGGGGAGACUGGAAUUCCUGGUGUAGCGGUGAAAUGCGCAGAUAUCAGGAGGAACACCGGUGGCGAAGGCGGGUCUCUGGGCAACAACUGACGCUGAGGAGCGAAAGCGUGGGGAGCGAACAGG
rnacentral:rRNA from 1 species